GACGAACGCUGGCGGCGUGCUUAACACAUGCAAGUCGAACGGAAAGGCCCUGCUUGCAGGGUACUCGAGUGGCGAACGGGGGAGUAACACGUGGGUGAUCUGCCCUGCACUUCGGGAUAAGCCUGGGAAACUGGGUCUAAUAUCGGGGAGGAGACCUCCUUAGUGAGGUGGGUGGAAAGUUUUUUGGGUGUGGGAUGGGCUCGCGGGCUAUCAGCCUGUUGGUGGGGUAAUGGCCUACCAAGGCGGCGACGGGUAGCCGGCCUGGGAGGGUGGACGGCCACAUUGGGGCUUGGAUACGGCCCAGACUCCUACGGGGGGGAGCAGGGGGGAAUUUUGCACAAUGGGCGGGAGCCUGGUGCAACGAAGCCGCGUGGGGGAUGGCGGCCUUCGGGUUGUAAACUCCUUUCGCUAGGUACGGAGGUUUUUGUGACGGUACCUGGUAAAGAAGCACCGGCUAACUACGUG
rnacentral:rRNA from 1 species